rnacentral:rRNA from 1 species
GACGAACGCUGGCGGCGUGCCUAAUACAUGCAAGUAGAACGCUGAAGGAGGAGCUUGCUUCUCUGGAUGAGUUGCGAACGGGUGAGUAACGCGUAGGUAACCUGCCUGGUAGCGGGGGAUAACUAUUGGAAACGAUAGCUAAUACCGCAUAAGAGUAGAUGUUGCAUGACAUUUGCUUAAAAGGUGCAAUUGCAUCACUACCAGAUGGACCUGCGUUGUAUUAGCUAGUUGGUGGGGUAACGGCUCACCAAGGCGACGAUACAUAGCCGACCUGAGAGGGUGAUCGGCCACACUGGGACUGAGACACGGCCCAGACUCCUACGGGAGGCAGCAGUAGGGAAUCUUCGGCAAUGGACGGAAGUCUGACCGAGCAACGCCGCGUGAGUGAAGAAGGGUUUCGGAUCGUAAAGCUCGGUUGUAAGAGGAGAACGAGUGUGAGAGUGGAAAGUUCACACUGUGACGGUAUCUUACCAGAAAGGGACGGCUAACUACGUG